AACGUAGGGGGCAAGCGUUGUUCGGAAUUACUGGGCGUAAAGCGCGUGUAGGCGGCUUGGCAAGUCGGAAGUGAAAGCCCUCGGCUCAACCGGGGAACUGCUUUCGAAACUGCCAGGCUUGAGUGCGGGAGGGGAGAGCGGAAUUCCCGGUGUAGCGGUGAAAUGCGUAGAUAUCGGGAAGAACACCGGUGGCGAAGGCGGCUCUCUGGACCGUGACUGACGCUGAGACGCGAAAGCGUGGGGAG
rnacentral:rRNA from 1 species